GUGCCUAUAGCUCAAUUGGAUAGAGCGUCGGAUUUCGGUCCCGAAGGUUUUAGGUUCAACUCCUAAUAAGCAUA
rnacentral:tRNA from 1 species